GAUGAACGCUGGCGGCGUGCCUAAUACAUGCAAGUCGAGCGAACAGACGAGGAGCUUGCUCCUCUGACGUUAGCGGCGGACGGGUGAGUAACACGUGGAUAACCUACCUAUAAGACUGGGAUAACUGCGGGAAACCGGAGCUAAUACCGGAUAAUAUAUUGAACCGCAUGGUUCAAUGGUGAAAGACGGUGUUGCUGUCACUUAUACAUGGAUCCGCGCCGCAUUAGCUAGUUGGUAAGGUAACGGCUUACCAAGGCAACGAUGCGUAGCCGACCUGAGGGGGGGAUCGGCGACACAGGGGGUGAGACGCCGUCCAGGCACCUAGGGGAGGCAGCAGUAGGGAAUGGUGCGCAAUGGGGGGAAGCUUGAAGGAGCAACGACGCGUGAGUGAUGAGGGUCUUCGGAUCGGAAAACUCUGUUCGUAGGGAAGAACAAAUGUGUAAGUAAAUAUGCGCGUCUUGACGGUACCUAAUCAGAAGGCCACGGCUAACUAGGU
rnacentral:rRNA from 1 species